UUUCUAUCUACAAUGUUCAAUCCCAACUUUUCUGAGUCCUAGUACGCAAGGAAUGGUCUCAGCGAUGCUCGACUAUAUUGGCCCCAUCGACGUAAUUAACUUCUGGCUGCUGCAAAGAAGGAAAACAAAAGGUUUAGGGAUUAAUAAGGUGCC
rnacentral:rRNA from 5 species